UUUUUUAAUUUUUAAAAAAUUUUGGCCCACUGUGCAGCUUGUGGGGUCUGUUUCCCAACCAGAGACUGGACCUGGGCCACAGCAGUGAAAGCACUGAAUCCUAACCACUAGACCACCAGGAAACUCUCUCUUCUCUGCUGAUUAUAUUCCUCAAAGUGCUGAAUGAAUGAGUGAGUGAGUGAGUGAAUGAAUUCUCAGGAAAGAAAUGAAGGGUCAUACUGAAUGCAAUGGUGAAGGACACAAAAGCGUGGAAAUAGAAGUCAGACCAAAGGAGUUUUCUACUCACCUGGCCUCCCAGUGAUUUCACUGGUCCUCAGUUAAUCCCCCUUCAGUUCAGUUCAGUUCAGUUCAGUCGCUCAGUCGUGUCCAACUCUUAGUGACCCCGUGAAUCGCAGCACGCCAGGCCUCCCUGUCCAUCACCAACUCCCGGAGUUCACUCAAACUCACGUCCAUCGAGUCGGUGAUGCCAUCCAGCCAUCUCAUGCUCUGUUGUCCCCUUCUCCUCCUGCCCCCAAUCCCUUCCAGCAUCCCCUUAAAGAGGGGAAAACAGACCACCUCCCAGACCUCCUUAGUCAGCAUACGGAAGGCACUCAAGCCGUUAGCUGUGCCUCCUUCCUUAGAAAGAUCUAGAAAAGAGAAGAGAGGUGCAGCAGUGUCCAGGGCUGUGGAGAUGGAGACCACAAAGGACAGCUGCCUCAAGCCUGCUUUUUCACCCCAGGGCAUUUUGGAGGUGUGCAGGUUUGAGAAAGCACUAGAAGAGGAUUUUUUUUUUUUUAAUAAAUGGCAACUGCAAGAUUACAGGAUAAAAGCACCUGUAUCUCCAUCUCAAGUAAUUAGUCCCAAAUCAAGAAUAAAUACAAAAAAAGACAAAUUCCACCUUCGGUGACCUGGGUUUGCCAGACCCGAGGGUGGAGAGCCAGCGGGGGGUGGUAGGUGGACCGACAGGGAAGAAUGAGGGCGGCACUGAGGGAAGCAGCUCCUUCGUCCCCUAGAAUCUAGGAAGGCAGGGACUGAAGGAACAAGGCACCAGGGGAGGCAUGAAGCGGGAGCCAAAGGCAGGGAUUGUCCCAGCCCUGUGAGAGGAGGGCAUAGACCCGGCCAGGCCCAGCCUGUUGCAUCCAGCUAGCCCCCUCAUCCUCCUCAGAACACAGCAGACUGGCUCUGAGGAGGUGAGCCAGAGAUGCUCUUGGCUUGUGAAUGCCAAGCGAAGUGUGGGGAUGAGGGGACCAGGCUAAAAGCAGAAGUGAAAGGCUCUUCUGCACAUGAUCACAAAGUUUCAGAUAGCCAGGAGCCAGGCUUGUGCUCCUUGUGAAUGAAAAGUCCAUUCUCUGAAGAAACUGGAGUGCCCCUGUGUGAAGACCUUCAAUUACUGACAUGCUUGGGUUCCCAAUGAAAACACCAGGUUAGCCACCUGCCCCCACACAGAUAACUACCAAAUGGAGCCUGUCCAGACACCCAUGGCUCCCAAUCAACUUGUUAGUGUCACACUUAUAUAUGAAUGGGUUACUUACGAUUGUCAGUCAGUUUGGGGGGAAACCUGCAACAUGAGAGAGACAGUAACCAAAACAAACUGAGAAAAGGAACACUGAGGAAACUGAAUUAAUACAGGGGUGAGCAGACCAUUAAAGCAAUUUGAUCCGUAUCUUCUGAGAUGUGAGACUUGAUCACAUCCAGGAAACAUAAUUAGGAUUCCAUAAGAAAGGAAAAAUUGGAAAUAGGAUCUAGAAACAAAAAAUGUGAUACUAUAGAAUCUGGAAAUAAAAAAUUGCUCUACCCCACCCCCAUUAUGUUUUCCAUGGAUGAAAAGUAAGGUCAAGGAAAUCUCCCAGGAAGCAGAACAAAAAGGCAAAUAGUUGGAUGAUCACAGAGAAAAGACAAGAAAGUAAGAGAAUUUAGUGAGGAGACCCAACAUCCAGUUAAUAGGAGCCCUUAGAAAGAGAAAACAGAAAGUAUAACAGGGAGUAAUCAGAAGCCAACCCAAACUAGAAUAAGGGGAAAAAAUGGGUGAGGAUGUGUCGGCCACAUUACUAAACUGACUUCAGGUGUGGCCAGUCCCAGGGCUCCCUCCACCACCAGCACUCUCUCUUCUGGUCUUCAGCCCCACCCACUGCGGAGUGUGCUUCACCUGCAGGUCCCACACAGCAGACCCAGAGCAUCCUCCUCCCCCUCCCUCUCCUCCUGCCCCUCCUCCUUUUCCUCGCUACCCACCCCGCCCCAGCCACCACCCGCCUCCCCUUGGCUUCCAGCUCAGCAGAGAAGAAAGCUUGACUCUGUCGCAGCACACACCUGUGCCCUGAUCAUGAUAGCGAAGACCAUAUGGCAUGGUGUGAAGAGUGUGGACUCUGGUUUCAGACUACCUAGCUUAUCUAGAUUUGAGUACCUCCUGGGGAAGAAAAAAAGAAAAAAGAGGCUUCUCUUUAUCUUCCUCACCCUGCCCCACCACCCACCCUGAAAAAUGCUUGUUGUCACUGACCACGUUUCGCUAGAAGGUGCUGAGGUGAACAGAAAAAUAUUCUUGAGUAGCAUCUCCAAUAAAACAAAAGCUAAAUCACAUUUCUACCACAAGAGGGAAUCCAUUUUAUCAAGGACCGAACCAAAUAACUAGCAUUUCAACAGAGAAUUCGUUGCAGAAACCAUGAACAUUACAUCUGAACUUUUUGGAUGUUAAAAAAAAAACUACAGGACUUUUGCUUCUGGGAAGAGCAAGCAGACAUGCUUCUCCCUGUUCUCUAAGCACAACAAAACCCUGGGACGUUAUACACAAAACAGACAUAGAAAGACUCUGAAAGGUGGAAGGAAGACAGGCUGGCCAGGGGCUCUGGGGCCUGAGCAACAAUAUGGUGGUGAGUUCCCUUAUCUGUUUUCAUUUUUUUAACCUCAUGUAUCCCAGACUUGGAGCUAACGAAGCCAGCAACCCGGAAAUACCAAAAGGCACAGACAAAAAAGGCCCCCGUGAAAACCUGCUGUCUCUAGCCAAGGAUGAAGACAAGAGCAGCCUAACAAGGCAGAAACAGUCAGACAAUGACUGCUGUGCUCCUGCCAGACCCUGGGAAAACUGGCCUGUCCAGCAGAGGCCGAGCGAGGCCCAGACUUUCUCCCUUGCCAGGCUGUGAUGAGGGGCCCCUCCUCCUUCCUGCCCGAGGAGGCCAAGAGCUCAGACUUUGAUUCCUCCCACCUGCUAGGCAGUACCGAGGCCUGAAAUUCUACCUCCACCU